UAAUACCGCAUAGAUCCAAGAACCGCAUGGUUCUUGGCUGAAAGAUGGCGUAAGCUAUCGCUUUUGGAUGGACCCGCGGCGUAUUAGCUAGUUGGUGAGGUAACGGCUCACCAAGGCGAUGAUACGUAGCCGAACUGAGAGGUUGAUCGGCCACAUUGGGACUGAGACACGGCCCAAACUCCUACGGGAGGCAGCAGUAGGGAAUCUUCCACAAUGGACGCAAGUCUGAUGGAGCAACGCCGCGUGAGUGAAGAAGGCUUUCGGGUCGUAAAACUCUGUUGUUGGAGAAGAAUGGUCGGCAGAGUAACUGUUGUCGGCGUGACGGUAUCCAACCAGAAAGCCACGGCUAACUACGUGCCAGCAGCCGCGGUAAUACGUAGGUGGCAAGCGUUAUCCGGAUUUAUUGGGCGUAAAGCGAGCGCAGGCGGUUUUUUAAGUCUGAUGUGAAAGCCCUCGGCUUAACCGAGGAAGCGCAUCGGAAACUGGGAAACUUGAGUGCAGAAGAGGACAGUGGAACUCCAUGUGUAGCGGUGAAAUGCGUAGAUAUAUGGAAGAACACCAGUGGCGAAGGCGGCUGUCUGGUCUGUAACUGACGC
rnacentral:rRNA from 1 species